rnacentral:rRNA from 1 species
UCCUACGGGGGGCAGCAGUGGGGAAUAUUGGGCAAUGGGGGAAACCCUGACCCAGCGACGCCGCGUGAGGGAAGAAGGUUUUCGGAUUGUAAACCUCUGUCCUUGGUGACGAUAAUGACGGUAGCCAAGGAGGAAGCCACGGCUAACUACGUGCCAGCAGCCGCGGUAAUACGUAGGUGGCAAGCGUUAUCCGGAUUUAUUGGGUGUAAAGGGCGUGUAGGCGGGAGCGCAAGUCAGAUGUGAAAACUCAGGGCUCAACCCUGAGCCUGCAUUUGAAACUGUGUUUCUUGAGUGCUGGAGAGGCA